rnacentral:rRNA from 1 species
CCUACGGGUGGCAGCAGUGGGGAAUAUUGGACAAUGGGGGGAACCCUGAUCCAGCGACGCCGCGUGAGUGAAGAAGUAUCUCGGUAUGUAAAGCUCUAUCAGCAGGGAAGAAAGAAAUGACGGUACCUGACUAAGAAGCCCCGGCUAACUACGUGCCAGCAGCCGCGGUAAUACGUAGGGGGCAAGCGUUAUCCGGAUUUACUGGGUGUAAAGGGAGCGUAGACGGCUGAGCAAGUCUGAAGUGAAAGGCGGGGGCCCAACCCCCGGACUGCUUUGGAAACUGUAUAGCUAGAGUGCAGGAGGGGUAAGGGGAAUUCGUGGUGUAGCGGGGAAAUGCGUAGAAAUUAGGAGGAACACCAGUGGCGAAGGCGGCUUACUGGACUGUAACUGACGUUGAGGCUCGAAAGCGUGGGAGCAAACAGGAUUAGAUACCCCAGUAGUC